CCCUUAGAUGUCCUGGGCUGCACGCGCGCUACACUGAUGUGUCCAGUAAGCACCUAACCUCUUCCGAAAGGAACGGGUAACCUUUGCAAAGCACAUCGUGAUGGGGAUAGAUUAUUGCAAUUAUUAGUCUUGAACGAGGAAUUCCUAGUAAGCACAAGUCAUCAGCUUGUGUUGAUUACGUCCCUGCCCUUUGUACACACCGCCCGUCGCUCCUACCGAUUGAGUGGUCCGGUGAGGCUUUGGGAUCUGAGCAAAAAGAGCGUUUCGCUCGUUUGGCUCGGAAAACUCAGUCGAACCUUAUCAUUUAGAGGAAGGAGAAGUCGUAACA
rnacentral:rRNA from 1 species